rnacentral:tRNA from 1 species
GGAAGGUUGGCUGAGAGGCCUAUAGCAUCAGUCUUGAAAACUGAAGAAGGUGAAACUUCCGUGGGUUCGAAUCCCACACCUUCCUCCA